rnacentral:rRNA from 1 species
GAAACGACAUCGAAAGCUUGCUUUUGAUGGGCGUCGACCGGCGCACGGGUGAGUAACGCGUAUCCAACCUGCCCACCACUUGGGGAUAACCUUGCGAAAGUAAGACUAAUACCCAAUGAUAUCUCUAGAAGACAUCUGAAAGAGAUUAAAGAUUUAUCGGUGAUGGAUGGGGAUGCGUCUGAUUAGCUUGUUGGCGGGGUAACGGCCCACCAAGGCUACGAUCAGUAGGGGUUCUGAGAGGAAGGUCCCCCACAUUGGAACUGAGACACGGUCCAAACUCCUACGGGAGGCAGCAGUGAGGAAUAUUGGUCAAUGGACGAGAGUCUGAACCAGCCAAGUAGCGUGCAGGAUGACGGCCCUAUGGGUUGUAAACUGCUUUUAUAAGGGAAUAAAGUGAGUCUCGUGAGACUUUUUGCAUGUACCUUAUGAAUAAGGACCGGCUAAUUCCGUGCCAGCAGCCGCGGUAAUACGGAAGGUCCGGGCGUUAUCCGGAUUUAUUGGGUUUAAAGGGAGCGUAGGCCGGAGAUUAAGCGUGUUGUGAAAUGUAGAUGCUCAACAUCUGCACUGCAGCGCGAACUGGUUUCCUUGAGUACGCACAAAGUGGGCGGAAUUCGUGGUGUAGCGGCGAAAUGCUUAGAUAUCACGAAGAACUCCGAUUGCGAAGGCAGCUCACUGGAGCGCAACUGACGCUGAAGCUCGAAAGUGCGGGUAUCGAACAGGAUUA